AAUUGGAGGGCAAGUCUGGUGCCAGCAGCCGCGGUAAUUCCGGCUCCAAUAGCGUAUAUUAAAGUUGUUGCAGUUAAAAAGCUCGUAGUUGAAUUUCGGGAUUGACACAUCGGUCGUGCCUUAAGGGGUAUGAACUGGUGUAGUCAAUUUCUCACCUUCUGGAGAACCGCGAUGCCCUUAAUUGGGUGUCACGGGGAACCAGGACCUUUACUUUGAAAAAAUUAGAGUGUUUAAAGCAGGCAUUUUGCUUGAAUACAUUAGCAUGGAAUAAUAAAAUAGGACGGCAUGAUUCUAUUUUGUUGGUUUCUAGGAUCACCGUAAUGAUUAAUAGGGAUAGUUGGGGGCAUUAGUAUUCAAUUGUCAGAGGUGAAAUUCUUGGAUUUAUUGAAGACUAACUACUGCGAAAGCAUUUGCCAAGGAUGUUUUCAUUAAUCAAGAACGAAAGUUAGGGGAUCGAAGACGAUCAGAUACCGUCGUAGUCUUAACCAUAAACUAUGCCGACUAGGAAUCAGACGAUGUUAAUUUUUUAAUGACUCGUUUGGCACCUUACGGGAAACCAAAGUGU
rnacentral:rRNA from 1 species